rnacentral:rRNA from 1 species
UGCUUCUUAUUUUAAUAAAAAUGUAUAUUUUUAUUAAACUUAAGUAUUCAUGAAAUUUGAAUAUAAUUCUGGGUAAAAAAUUGAUAAUGACAAAGUUUUAUCUAUUUGUCUUGACCAAAUCUUGUGCCAGCAGUCGCGGCAACACAAGGAAGACAAGUGUUAUUCAUCUUAAAUUGGUUUAAGGGGUACCUAGACGGUAAAUUAGGCCAUAGUAGGAACGUUUUUACUAGAGUUAAACAUGCAAGGGGAUUGUGUCAGUAUUGACAGAGUAGAGAUGAAAUUUUUUGAUACUGUUAAGACUGGUAAAGGCGAAAGCAAACCUUUAUAUAUUAACUGACGUUGAGGGACGAAGGCUUGGGGAGCAAACAGGAUUAGAUACCCUAAUAGUCCAGGCAGAGAAUUAUGAAUGUCAUAGGUUAUACACAGUGUAGUCUAUAAAUGAAAGUGUAAGCAUUCCACCUCAAGAGUAAUGUGGCAACGCAGGAACUGAAAUCAUUAGACCGUUUCUGAUACCAAUAGUGAAGUAUGUUGUUUAAUUUGUCGGUCCACAAAGAACCUUACCACAAUUUGAAUAUAUUUAAUAUAUAUAUAAAUCUAUGUUUAUAUAUUUAGAUAUACAAGCGUUGCAUUGUUGUCUUCA